AGAAUGAACGCUGGCGGCAUGCCUAACACAUGCAAGUCGAACGAAGCCUUCGGGCUUAGUGGCGCACGGGUGCGUAACGCGUGGGAAUCUACCCUUGGGUUCGGAAUAACAGUUAGAAAUGACUGCUAAUACCGAAUGAUGUCGUAAGACCAAAGAUUUAUCGCCCAGGGAUGAGCCCGCGUAGGAUUAGCUAGUUGGUGUGGUAAAAGCGCACCAAGGCGACGAUCCUUAGCUGGUCUGAGAGGAUGAUCAGCCACGCUGGGACUGAGACACGGCCCAGACUCCUACGGGAGGCAGCAGUGGGGAAUAUUGGACAAUGGGCGAAAGCCUGAUCCAGCAAUGCCGCGUGAGUGAUGAAGGCCUUAGGGUUGUAAAGCUCUUUACCCGGGAUGAUAAUGACAGUACCGGGAGAAUAAGCUCCGGCUAACUCCGUGCCAGCAGCCGC
rnacentral:rRNA from 1 species